rnacentral:guide_RNA from 1 species
AUAGAUAAACACAACAAAGAACGGAUAGAAGAAAUAUCUAUGAGAUUAUUA